rnacentral:rRNA from 1 species
GACGAACGCUGGCGGCGUGCUUAACACAUGCAAGUCGAACGGAAAGGCCCUGCUUUUGUGGGGUGCUCGAGUGGCGAACGGGUGAGUAACACGUGAGUAACCUGCCCUUGACUUUGGGAUAACUUCAGGAAACUGGGGCUAAUACCGGAUAGGAGCUCCUGCUGCAUGGUGGGGGUUGGAAAGUUUCGGCGGUUGGGGAUGGACUCGCGGCUUAUCAGCUUGUUGGUGGGGUAGUGGCUUACCAAGGCUUUGACGGGUAGCCGGCCUGAGAGGGUGACCGGCCACAUUGGGACUGAGAUACGGCCCAGACUCCUACGGGAGGCAGCAGUGGGGAAUAUUGCACAAUGGGCGGAAGCCCGAUGCAGCAACGCCGCGUGCGGGAUGACGGCCUUCGGGUUGUAAACCGCUUUCGCCUGUGACGAAGCGUGAGUGACGGUAAUGGGUAAAGAAGCACCGGCUAACUACGUGCCAGCAGCCGCGGUGAUACGUAGGGUGCGAGCGUUGUCCGGAUUUAUUGGGCGUAAAGGGCUCGUAGGUGGUUGAUCGCGUCGGAAGUGUAAUCUUGGGGCUUAACCCUGAGCGUGCUUUCGAUACGGGUUGACUUGAGGAAGGUAGGGGAGAAUGGAAUUCCUGGUGGAGCGGUGGAAUGCGCAGAUAUCAGGAGGAACACCAGUGGCGAAGGCGGUUCUCUGGGCCUUUCCUGACGCUGAGGAGCGAAAGCGUGGGGAGCGAACAGGCUUAGAUACCCUGGUAGUCCACGCUGUAAACGGUGGGUACUAGGUGUGGGGUCCAUUCCACGGGUUCCGUGCCGUAGCUAACGCUUUAAGUACCCCGCCUGGGGAGUACGGCCGCAAGGCUAAAACUCAAAGGAAUUGACGGGGCCCCGCACAAGCGGCGGAGCAUGCGGAUUAAUUCGAUGCAACGCGUAGAACCUUACCUGGGUUUGACAUGGAUCGGGAGCGCUCAGAGAUGGGUGUGCCUCUUUUGGGGUCGGUUCACAGGUGGUGCAUGGCUGUCGUCAGCUCGUGUCGUGAGAUGUUGGGUUAAGUCCCGCAACGAGCGCAACCCUUGUUCACUGUUGCCAGCACGUUAUGGUGGGGACUCAGUGGAGACCGCCGGGGUCAACUCGGAGGAAGGUGGGGAUGACGUCAAGUCAUCAUGCCCCUUAUGUCCAGGGCUUCACGCAUGCUACAAUGGCUGGUACAGAGAGUGGCGAGCCUGUGAGGGUGAGCGAAUCUCGGAAAGCCGGUCUCAGUUCGGAUUGGGGUCUGCAACUCGACCUCAUGAAGUCGGAGUCGCUAGUAAUCGCAGAUCAGCAACGCUGCGGUGAAUACGUUCCCGGGGCU